AGUGAACGCUGGCGGUAGGCCUAACACAUGCAAGUCGAACGGCAGCACAGUAAGAGCUUGCUCUUACGGGUGGCGAGUGGCGGACGGGUGAGGAAUACAUCGGAAUCUACUUUUUCGUGGGGGAUAACGUAGGGAAACUUACGCUAAUACCGCAUACGACCUACGGGUGAAAGCAGUGGAUCUUCGGACCUUGCGCGAUUGAAUGAGCCGAUGUCGGAUUAGCUAGUUGGCGGGGUAAAGGCCCACCAAGGCGACGAUCCGUAGCUGGUCUGAGAGGAUGAUCGGCCACACUGGAACUGAGACACGGUCCAGACUCCUACGGGAGGCAGCAGUGGGGAAUAUUGGACAAUGGGCGCAAGCCUGAUCCAGCCAUACCGCGUGAGUGAAGAAGGCCUUCGGGUUGUAAAGCCCUUUUGUUGGGAAAGAAAAGCAGCAGGUUAAUACCCCGCUGUUCUGACGGUACCCAAAGAAUAAGCACCGGCUAACUUCGUG
rnacentral:rRNA from 1 species